rnacentral:rRNA from 1 species
AUUGGACGCUGGCGGCAGGCCUAACACAUGCGAGUCGAGCGGAUGAAGGGAGCUUGCUCCUGGAUUCAGCGGCGGACGGGUGAGUAAUGCCUAGGAAUCUGCCUGGUAGUGGGGGAUAACGUCCGGAAACGGGCGCUAAUACCGCAUACGUCCUGAGGGAGAAAGUGGGGGAUCUUCGGACCUCACGCUAUCAGAUGAGCCUAGGUCGGAUUAGCUAGUUGGUGGGGUAAAGGCCUACCAAGGCGACGAUCCGUAACUGGUCUGAGAGGAUGAUCAGUCACACUGGAACUGAGACACGGUCCAGACUCCUACGGGAGGCAGCAGUGGGGAAUAUUGGACAAUGGGCGAAAGCCUGAUCCAGCCAUGCCGCGUGUGUGAAGAAGGUCUUCGGAUUGUAAAGCACUUUAAGUUGGGAGGAAGGGCAGUAAGUUAAUACCUUGCUGUUUUGACGUUACCAACAGAAUAAGCACCGGCUAACUUCGUG